UUUGAUCCUGGCUCAGGAUGAACGCUGGCGGCGUGCCUAACACAUGCAAGUCGAGCGAAGCAUUUUAAAGGAAGUUUUCGGAUGGAAUUUGAAAUGACUGAGCGGCGGACGGGUGAGUAACGCGUGGGUAACCUGCCUCAUACAGGGGGAUAACAGUUAGAAAUGACUGCUAAUACCGCAUAAGCACACAGUACCGCAUGGUACAGUGUGAAAAACUCCGGUGGUAUGAGAUGGACCCGCGUCUGAUUAGCUGGUUGGCGGGGUAACGGCCCACCAAGGCGACGAUCAGUAGCCGACCUGAGAGGUUGAACGGCCACAUUGGGACUGAGACACGGCCCAGACUCCUACGGGAGGCAGCAGUGGGGAAUAUUGCACAAUGGGGGAAACCCUGAUGCAGCGACGCCGCGUGGAGGAAGAAGGUCUUCGGAUUGUAAACUCCUGUUGUUGAAGAAGAUAAUGACGGUACUCAACAAGGAAGUGACGGCUAACUACGUGCCAGCAGCCGCGGUAAAACGUAGGUCACAAGCGUUGUCCGGAAUUACUGGGUGUAAAGGGAGCGCAGGCGGGAAGACAAGUUGGAAGUGAAAUCCAUGGGCUCAACCCAUGAAUUGCUUUCAAAACUGUUUUUCUUGAGUAGUGCAGAGGUAGGCGGAAUUCCCGGUGUAGCGGUGGAAUGCGUAGAUAUCGGGAGGAACACCAGUGGCGAAGGCGGCCUACUGGGCACCAACUGACGCUGAGGCUCGAAAGUGUGGGUAGCAAACAGGAUUAGAUAACCUGGUAGUCCACACUGUAAACGAUGA
rnacentral:rRNA from 1 species